rnacentral:misc_RNA from 1 species
UCAUUUAGAGGAAGGAGAAGUCGUAACAAGGUUUCCGUAGGUGAACCUGCGGAAGGAUCAUUGUCGAAACCUGCAAAGCAGAAAGACCAGCGGACCCAUUACAACACCCAGGGGUGACCCCAACCCCUGACGCUGAGUGUGUGCAGCCCUGCCUUGCGCCCUCAGCAUAAAACGAACCCAGGCGCGGAACGCGUCAAGGAAUCAUAACGAAACGAGCUCCUGCCGUGGCCCCGGGGACGGUGAUCGCCGCAGCAGCUGUGUUGUGCUUGGUUAAGUCUAAAAUGACUCUCGGCAACGGAUAUCUCGGCUCUCGCAUCGAUGAAGAACGUAGCGAAAUGCGAUACUUGGUGUGAAUUGCAGAAUCCCGUGAACCAUCGAGUCUUUGAACGCAAGUUGCGCCUGAAGCCAUCAGGCUGAGGGCACGUCUGCCUGGGCGUCAAACACCGAUGCCCCCCCAAAUCCCCUCGUCACUCUCCCCUGAGUGCCCGGGGAGUGUGGGGGUCGGAUGAUGGCCUCCCGUGUCUUGGCUCGCGGUUGGCCCAAAGUCGAGUCCUCGGUCACGGUUACCGUGGUGACAGGUGGUUGUCGGUCGCUCGGUACCCCGUCACGUGCGCCGGACACGAAUCGAGACUCUCUUGAUUACCCCAACGCAUCCCCGUUUGGGUGCCUCUGAUGUGACCCCAGGUCAGGCGGGGCUACCCGCUGAGUUUAAGCAU